rnacentral:rRNA from 1 species
UACGAAGGGGGCUAGCGUGGCUCGGAAUCACUGGGCGUAAAGCGCACGUAGGCGGCUUUCUAAGUCAGGGGUGAAAUCCUGGAGCUCAACUCCAGAACUGCCUUUGAUACUGGAGAGCUUGAGUCCGGAAGAGGUGAGUGGAACUCCGAGUGUAGAGGUGAAAUUCGUAGAUAUUCGGAAGAACACCAGUGGCGAAGGCGGCUCACUGGUCCGGUACUGACGCUGAUGUGCGAAAGCGUGGGGAGCAAACAGG